UACGGCCAUAUCCCGUCGAAACGCCGGUUCCCGUACGAUCACCAAAGUUAAGCAACAUCAUGUCUGGUCAAUAUCUUGAUGGAUGACCGCUUGGGAAAAACAGC